UACGGAGGAUCCAAGCGUUGUCCGGAUUUAUUGGGUUUAAAGGGUGCGUAGGCGGACCAUUAAGUCAGAGGUGAAAGUUUUCAGCUUAACUGGAAAAUUGCCUUUGAAACUGGCGGUCUUGAGUAUAGUUGAGGUGGGCGGAAUGUGUCAUGUAGCGGUGAAAUGCUUAGAUAUGAUACAGAACACCGAUUGCGAAGGCAGCUCACUAAACUAUAACUGACGCUGAGGCACGAAAGCGUGGGGAGCAAACAGG
rnacentral:rRNA from 1 species